UACGGGGGGAGCAAGCGUUGUUCGGAUUUACUGGGCGUAAAGGGCGCGUAGGCGGCCUGUGCAAGUCAGUUGUGAAAUCUCCGAGCUUAACUCGGAACGGUCAACUGAUACUGCUCGGCUAGAGUGCGGAAGGGGCAACUGGAAAUUCUUGGUGUAGCGGUGAAAUGCGUAGAUAUCAAGAGGAACACCUGCGGCGAAGGCGGGUUGCUGGGCCGACACUGACGCUGAGGCGCGAAAGCUAGGGGAGCGAACGGG
rnacentral:rRNA from 1 species